UACGGGGGGGGCAAGCGUUGUUCGGAAUUACUGGGCGUAAAGGGUUCGUAGGUGGCUUGCUAAGUCAGACGUGAAAUCCCUCAGCUUAACUGGGGAACUGCGUCUGAUACUGGCGAGCUUGAGUGCAGGAGAGGAACGCAGAAUUCCAGGUGUAGCGGUGAAAUGCGUAGAUAUCUGGAGGAAUACCGGUGGCGAAGGCGGCGUUCUGGACUGCAACUGACACUGAGGAACGAAAGCCAGGGGAGCAAACGGG
rnacentral:rRNA from 1 species